rnacentral:lncRNA from 1 species
AUCAGUUAAUCUUAGUAUGAGUACCAAAAACUUAAUUUACUAAUGGAUAUGGUCAUGUUCCAAACAAUUUUAAUCACUUAAAGAGCUUUUGUAUAUACUAUACAUAUGUAGUGUUUUAUUAUGAAGAAGAGAGCAUCGGACAAACCUUUGAAACAAAGAACAUGGAAAGUGUAAUGAGUUUGGCAGUGCGACUUUAAAAGUAAGUGAACAAGUGAAAACAGAACCCAUGCUUGUUUGCUUCCUCCUACUAACUACUUAGUACUAUAGCAACUAUUGAUUUCAAUCAAACGCAUUUAAUUUUUUUCUUCCCUAAAGGACUCUCCUCAUUUUUACUUUCACACCAUCGCUCUUUCUUUCAACUUCUCGAUUUCACACAAUUAUAUCACGAA